rnacentral:snoRNA from 1 species
UGAUAUAAAGGAAAAUAAGAGCGAUAAUGGAAGUGAGGAUAAGAUAAGAGGAUGGGAGGGAGAAGUAACAAAAGUGAAAAAUAAUUUCAAAUAGAUUUCAAUUUUUAAAUUUUGUUUUCACUUUUGUUACUUCUCUCUCUCAUCACUCCUCUCUCCCAUCUCUCACUCUCAUCUUUCCUCUCAGUCUA